CCUACGGGGGACAGCAGUGAGGAAUAUUGGUCAAUGGACGAGAGUCUGAACCAGCCAAGUAGCGUGAAGGAUGACUGCCCUAUGGGUUGUAAACUUCUUUUAUAUGGGAAUAAAGUGUUCCACGUGUGGGAUUUUGUAUGUACCAUAUGAAUAAGGAUCGGCUAACUCCGUGCCAGCAGCCGCGGUAAUACGGAGGAUCCGAGCGUUAUCCGGAUUUAUUGGGUUUAAAGGGAGCGUAGGUGGAUUGUUAAGUCAGUUGUGAAAGUUUGCGGCUCAACCGUAAAAUUGCAGUUGAAACUGGCAGGCUUGAGUACAGUAGAGGUGGGCGGAAUUCGUGGUGUAGCGGUGAAAUGCUUAGAUAUCACGAAGAACUCCGAUUGCGAAGGCAGCUCACUGGACUGCAACUGACACUGAGGCUCGAAAGUGUGGGUAUCAAACAGGAUUAGAUACCCCUGUAGUC
rnacentral:rRNA from 1 species